rnacentral:rRNA from 1 species
CGAACGGACGAGAAGCUUGCUUCUCUGAUGUUAGCGGCGGACGGGUGAGUAACACGUGGAUAACCUACCUAUAAGACUGGGAUAACUUCGGGAAACCGGAGCUAAUACCGGAUAAUAUUUUGAACCGCAUGGUUCAAAAGUGAAAGACGGUCUUGCUGUCACAUAUAGAUGGAUCCGCGCUGCAUUAGCUAGUUGGUAAGGUAACGGCUUACCAAGGCAACGAUGCAUAGCCGACCUGAGAGGGUGAUCGGCCACACUGGAACUGAGACACGGUCCAGACUCCUACGGGAGGCAGCAGUAGGGAAUCUUCCGCAAUGGGCGAAAGCCUGACGGAGCAACGCCGCGUGAGUGAUGAAGGUCUUCGGAUCGUAAAACUCUGUUAUUAGGGAAGAACAUAUGUGUAAGUAACUGUGCACAUCUUGACGGUACCUAAUCAGAAAGCCACGGCUAACUACGUGCCAGCCAGCCGCGGUAAUACGUAGGUGGCAAGCGUUAUCCGGAAUUAUUGGGCGUAAAGCGCGCGUAGGCGGUUUUUUAAGUCUGAUGUGAAAGCCCACGGCUCAACCGUGGAGGGUCAUUGGAAACUGGAAAACUUGAGUGCAGAAGAGGAAAGUGGAAUUCCAUGUGUAGCGGUGAAAUGCGCAGAGAUAUGGAGGAACACCAGUGGCGAAGGCG